CUUUGGGGAAGAUGAGGGCACUUCUUUAGUCAAGAAGUCUUCUGGACAGUACCUCCUGUGCCAUCCUGUGAGGCAUGCGUUAGGACCCCCCUCUCCUCCAGCCCCUGGUGAUUAGCAUCCAGGGCCUUGCAGUGGAAGCACCUGAGUUAACAGCAUGGUUCAGGAGGGCUUUUUGGAGAACGUUGCAAAGAUGGUCAGAGCUCCAAUGGCUCAGCCUAAGGCUGAUAUACCCAUGUAUCCCUUCCUGCUCUGAAAUAAUGCCUGUGGGUGAAAACCAUGAAAAAUGACCCUCUAGGAAAUGAAGGUGGAUAACUCUAAGAAGCUAGUAGAGAAUUGAUUUAAAAUAUUAUUCUUGUUUGGUAUAAAGCAAACUGGGAAGUGUUCUCACUGAAGCAUGAAAAUAGGUUUUUCCCAUGUGGAGUUUAGUAUAAGGAUGGAAAAAUGAUAAUCACACUAGACUUUGACCAAUGCAACUCUAUUUCCUGAUAUCCAUGUUGAAAAAUAGCCUCCACUGGAUGCGGAAUUGCAUUUCCCAUGAUUAACUGUUGGUUUAAAAAAUUUUGUACACUUUUUUAAUUUGAAAUUUAGUCACAUUCAUAUAAUUUUUCAAGCCAGUUUCUGUGGAAAUUUUUUUAACAAAGAAAAAAUAUAGAAACACCUUCAGAUCUUCCUAAGUGAAUAUUUAAAAUGCAGAACUGCUUCUCUUCUGUGUUUCUGUAUUCAGAUACUGAGAUCUGUUGUAUAUAUUAGUUUAGACAUCCUCACUAAUAUACACAGUAUUUAAGACUCUAAAUGAGAUUUCUUAAGUAUUUUAUUUUAUUCUCUGUAAAUGGUUUUGUAUGAUCUUUAAAAAUCUACACUUUGCUUUUGUAGAUAUUUAAGGGAAACCAUUUGGGGGUUGUCUUGCAUGUAUAUUUUUGUUGUAGAUAAGUAUUGCUUAGUUAUUUCUGCAAAUUUUGGUUGAAAUGCGUACAGACUUUAAUACAGUAUAUAUAUUUUCAGAAUAUAAACUUUUAUAUUUCUGUGGUAAGUUAGGAUCUGCGUUUUAGGCAAUCUUUUCCAUUAAUAUCACUUGUUCUUUCAAGAAAUAGCAUUCUGGUUUGGUGCCAAUGGUUUUCUGUUUUUUUUUUCCCGUUAAAAUCGAGUGCUCCUAAAUUGUUAGAGAGCCGGUUAAUUUUCUUUUUUUCAAAGUAAUUGAGUUUGAAAAAAUGUAUUGAAUUUGUGAAUAAGCCUUACCAUUAGGAUCAGUAAAAUUUUCCAACCUUUGCAACUAGGUAUGUAGUUGAGGAUCUCCCCAUAAAUUCUCACUGUGUGGCAGUUGAUGGAGUUUGUGAACAGAGCCUUAAGCUUGUUGCAAAAAAAAAAAAAAAGGUAAUACGGGUUGUUUUUUUUUAAGCAGCAUAAGCCAUGUGGAUGGACUCUGUGCAGUCUGUACAGCAUGGCUAAUCUGGAGAGUGCGGUUGAGUUGACGGCAGCAGGGACCAGUUAGACACCUUGGCGAUUGUCUUGGCCAUACGAAGGGGCCCUGGACAGGUGUUCUGGAGCCCCCUGCGUACUGUUCAUGUGGUGUAGACACGGCCACAGGGAGGGCCGCUGGUCCAUUGUUUGUUUUGAACCAAUGGCAUUUCCUGCUGCUGACCUUGGCGGUUGACCCCAGGUUCCUUGCAGGUGACCUGGGAAUGUCCAGCCUGGCUGCGGUCAGCACUCCUUGAGAGAUGUUAACAAAGUUUACAUGUGAGUCUUACUGUGUAGACAAUCUGAAGUCGAUUUCAGUUAUGUCAUCCGCAUUCCCACAUGUGCUGAGUGUCUUGUCAGUGAAGUAGGUGUAUUAAGCCAUACUGAACCUGAGUGUAGCAGGGCAGAGGCAACCUAGGUGUGCAACACACGCAUCAGCUGAGCCGGUCUCAGCCCACUCUGGGCUGUUUGAAUGGCGCAUAAGUCGUGGAGCUCACUGGACGGGCGUCCACCAGGGUCUGAUAAAACCAAGUAAACUCUGAAAAUUAAACUUAAAAAAAAUGAUUCUUUCUCAUUGGCCCUGCUUCUGCAGUUACCUCCUGGUUCUCCUUAUCAAGGUUUCAAAGAUGAUCUUGAGACCAGGGCCAUAGAAUGGCUAAAGUCAAGUUAUUCGGUUCAUCUCAAAAUACGUGUUCAUAAAGCCAACCUGUCUCCCACUAGGAUGGAGACUGGCUUCAAAUAUUUGCAGUGUGUGUGUCAAUCAGAAAAACUGACAUCUAGAUUUUAGCCUCUGCUCUGACCUCUCUGUGGGUUGACCCUGCCUCGUUGGCCCAGCACCUGGCCUCGCUCUGGAGCUCGUUAAGGUGACUCUGGGCAGUUUGGAGGGUGUGGAAUUUUCCGUAUAGUAUUUAAUGUGUCCCUGUGCCAUCAGUCCCAGCCUGAAGUCAUUGCUGAUGCCCGUGUUGACAGGACUGUGAAAAUAUUGCCUUUCAUAAAACCAAGGACCAAAGAAUUCCAUUAUUCCAGCAAAGCACGAGUUCCAUAGAUUGUGGGCACAUUUAGGCAGAGGUGUGCAUGCUUCAUGGCACAGAGAAGCUGCCCCCGUCCACCAACCGUAUGCUCCCCCCGGCUGGCCCUACAGAGGGAUUUGCCGUCCCCUCUCGAAGGCUCUGGAAGAUGAGUUUCUUAGAUUGAAACGCGCUGUCCCAGGCGGGUGUUUCUGCUGUGUAGUCCAGCCUUUAUCCAUGUCGGUACCGUAGAGAGUGGAGGUCCGGCAUCCUUCAGGGUCCCUGAUCAGCGUGUGAUUUGUCCAUCCGUGUAGACACCUCCAGCGCGCGUUCUUCAGAUGUGUGUCUACACUGAGCAGCCAGAUCCUACAGUUGCCAAAUUUCCACCUCCUUUUUGUUCUCCAUCAACCCAUUCCGCUUCCUGUUUAGUCCUGGAAGAAAUCUCUUCACUUCUCACACUAGGUAGAUGCUCCAUGCUCAUCCACAAUGAAACCAUUCAUCCAUCGGCCGGCUGAGAAAUGAUCUGAUACUGAAGAAGUGGGAUUCUAGUGGUAAGGCUUAUUACCAAACCUCUGAUAAUGAAGCAGGCUACCAAAAAAUGUAUCCGGCCCGCCCCGGGAGUGUUCAGAUUUGAUCAUGGAUCUAGCACACACACCAAAAUCCAAGGAGACCUUUGCAAAUUAGGCUACUCGUUUUCUUUCGCCAGGUUAUCAUGGGAAAGUCUUUAACUAGUUCUGAAUAUCUGUAAGUAUGAGUACUUCAUAGACUUAUAAAGCAGGUACAGUGCCCCUUUCUCACCACGCUGUAAAUAUUACCCGAGACUGGGUGCGGUACUGAGGGAUAAUAACCUUCUGAUUUAUCAAACGCUGACUGUCUAGAGCAAAUUGUACACUCUCUUUGUGAAUGGUCCUGUAACGUGUAUGAACACAUUUCUGGGUGCCUUAGAAGUUGUAUUUUUCAUGUGUGCUAAUAUGCAGUAUUUAUACAUCGUGAGAAGCUGCUUUGAAUAAAAAGGUUGAAACUUG
ensembl:lncRNA